rnacentral:rRNA from 1 species
GACGAACGCUGGCGGCGUGCUUAACACAUGCAAGUCGAACGGAAAGGCCCUGCUUUUGUGGGGUGCUCGAGUGGCGAACGGGUGAGUAACACGUGAGUAACCUGCCCUUGACUUUGGGACAACUUCAGGAAACUGGGGCUAAUACCGGAUAGGAGCUCCUGCUGCAUGGUGGGGGUUGGAAAGUUUCGGCGGUUGGGGAUGGACUCGCGGCUUAUCAGCUUGUUGGUGGGGUAGUGGCUUACCAAGGCUUUGACGGGUAGCCGGCCUGAGAGGGUGACCGGCCACAUUGGGACUGAGAUACGGCCCAGACUCCUACGGGAGGCAGCAGUGGGGAAUAUUGCACAAUGGGCGGAAGCCUGAUGCAGCAACGCCGCGUGCGGGAUGACGGCCUUCGGGUUGUAAACCGCUUUCGCCUGUGACGAAGCGUGAGUGACAGUAAUGGGUAAAGAAGCACCGGCUAACUACGUG